ACCUGUUGCGGGCGGCGAGAGCGGCGGCCGCGACACAAGACACACACCGUGCCACGGGAAGAACGCGGCACUUUUGGGCGUU
rnacentral:sRNA from 17 species